GGGGGGGGCGGGGUCUAUAAUGCAGUCGAGCGGACAGAUGGGAGCUUGCUCCCUGAUGUUAGCGGCGGACGGGUGAGUAACACGUGGGUAACCUGCCUGUAAGACUGGGAUAACUCCGGGAAACCGGGGCUAAUACCGGAUGGUUGUUUGAACCGCAUGGUUCAGACAUAAAAGGUGGCUUCGGCUACCACUUACAGAUGGACCCGCGGCGCAUUAGCUAGUUGGUGAGGUAACGGCUCACCAAGGCGACGAUGCGUAGCCGACCUGAGAGGGUGAUCGGCCACACUGGGACUGAGACACGGCCCAGACUCCUACGGGAGGCAGCAGUAGGGAAUCUUCCGCAAUGGACGAAAGUCUGACGGAGCAACGCCGCGUGAGUGAUGAAGGUUUUCGGAUCGUAAAGCUCUGUUGUUAGGGAAGAACAAGUGCCGUUCAAAUAGGGCGGCACCUUGACGGUACCUAACCAGAAAGCCACGGCUAACUACGUGCCAGCAGCCGCGGUAAUACGUAGGUGGCAAGCGUUGUCCGGAAUUAUUGGGCGUAAAGGGCUCGCAGGCGGUUUCUUAAGUCUGAUGUGAAAGCCCCCGGCUCAACCGGGGAGGGUCAUUGGAAACUGGGGAACUUGAGUGCAGAAGAGGAGAGUGGAAUUCCACGUGUAGCGGUGAAAUGCGUAGAGAUGUGGAGGAACACCAGUGGCGAAGGCGACUCUCUGGUCUGUAACUGACGCUGAGGAGCGAAAGCGUGGGGAGCGAACAGGAUUAGAUACCCUGGUAGUCCACGCCGUAAACGAUGAGUGCUAAGUGUUAGGGGGUUUCCGCCCCUUAGUGCUGCAGCUAACGCAUUAAGCACUCCGCCUGGGGAGUACGGUCGCAAGACUGAAACUCAAAGGAAUUGACGGGGGGCCCGCACAAGCGGUGGAGCAUGUGGUUUAAUUCGAAGCAACGCGUAGAACCUUACCAGGGUCUUGACAUCCUUCUGACAAUCCUAGAGAU
rnacentral:rRNA from 1 species